CUACGGGUCGCUGCAGUGAGGAAUUUUGCGCAAUGGGGGGAACCCUGACGCAGCAACGCCGCGUGAGUGAUGAAGGCUUUCGGGUCGUAAAGCUCUGUCAAGUGGGAAGAACCUAUGCAGUGUUAAUAUCACUGUAUACUGACGGUACCACUGAAGGAAGCACCGGCUAACUCCGUGCCAGCAGCCGCGGUAAUACGGGGGGUGCAAGCGUUAUUCGGAAUCAUUGGGCGUAAAGGGCACGUAGGCGGCUUGGUAAGUCAGAUGUGAAAGCCCGGGGCUUAACCCCGGAAGUGCAUUUGAUACUGUCAGGCUUGAGUAUGGGAGAGGGAAGUGGAAUUCCUGGUGUAGAGGUGAAAUUCGUAGAUAUCAGGAGGAACACCGGUGGCGAAGGCGACUUCCUGGACCAAUACUGACGCUGAGGUGCGAAGGCGUGGGUAGCAAACAGGAUUAGAUACCCGCGUAGUC
rnacentral:rRNA from 1 species